rnacentral:rRNA from 1 species
AGAACUUAGCAGAGAUGCUUUGGUGCCUUCGGGAACUCUGAGACAGGUGCUGCAUGGCUGUCGUCAGCUCGUGUUGUGAAAUGUUGGGUUAAGUCCCGCAACGACGCGCAACCCUUAUCCUUUGUUGCCAGCGGUCCGGCCGGGAACUCAAAGGAGACUGCCAGUGAUAAACUGGAGGAAGGUGGGGAUGACGUCAAGUCAUCAUGGCCCUUACGAGUAGGGCUACACACGUGCUACAAUGGCGCAUACAAAGAGAAGCGACCUCGCGAGAGCAAGCGGACCUCAUAAAGUGCGUCGUAGUCCGGAUUGGAGUCUGCAACUCGACUCCAUGAAGUCGGAAUCGCUAGUAAUCGUAGAUCAGAAUGCUACGGUGAAUACGUUCCCGGGCCUUGUACACACCGCCCGUCACACCAUGAGAGUGGGUUGCAAAAGAAGUAGGUAGCUUAACUUUCGGGAGGGCGCUUACCACUUUGUGAUUCAUGACUGGGGUGAAGUCGUAACAAGGUAGGCGUAGCGAG